ACACGGAAGGGAGGUGGUCCAGGAAUUGAUUUCAUAUUGGACGCGUGAGGUGACUGCGCGCUAGGUGCGCAACGUCGACUGCUUCGACGGCGCAUCCUGCGCAAUCCCAAGCAGUUCACCGCAGCCCGCGGGCCGUGCAGGUCGUCCCCUGCACAUGUCGAGCCGCUCGAAUUCGGCGAGGCGAGGCCCGCGGGCUGUUCCAU
rnacentral:sRNA from 1 species